CUCAACAUGCUCCAGGCCCUAGGUUCUGUCCUUGGCUAGGGGGCAGUGCUCACUAGGUAAAUCAUUGACUAAUUGAAUACAGGGCAGGGGGCUAACAUGCUACAACCCCCCAGGCUGCGGAGGCAGCCACACUUCAGCGCACUUAGGUAAGAGCAAAGGGGUGUUGUGUGCGUGAUGUAACUUUUGGAUCUGGAAAGAGACCUUUUCCACGAUGUGUUUUCCAACCCAUGUUUCUUAUUUUCCUCCUUCGUCUAUGUGGUUCAUUGAGUUCUUUCUUACUCUUUUUUCCUUUCAGUGCUGGGGAUCCAAAUCCAGGCCUUGCACAGGCUAGGCUAAGCUUUACCACUCAGCUGCACUCUCUAGUCCCAGACAAGUACAUUUUAAAACAUUUAAAACAUGGCAACUGGAGCGACUUCCUCAGCCUUUCAGCAAGAUUACAAUGCGCUAUCAUCCACAGAGACCAAUGAAACAGGCAAAGGAAGUGGAGUAAUAAUUCCGCUUUUACUCAGAACAUGAAGUGCAAAUGAUUUGCUCAAAGUCAGCCAAGUCCAAGGAUUAAUCCUUUAGGGAAAGGCAAAUACUUCCGCCACGGAUCCGACUGAGGAGUAAAUGUGUAAAUCACACAGCAGCCUCCAAGCACCCACGGCCCCUUUGCGCGGGGUUUGCAAGGCUCAGUAACCGGCCGCACCCCUGGGGUUCCUGGCGCAAGGCGAUUCCUGGCCUCGCCAAGGCCAAAGGAGGGCCCAGCCCACACGUUUGUUUUCAUCUACUCUUAAACGGCUCGCAGGCCAAAGAAGAGGGCACUGCUUACUGCCCGGCUGUGUGUUACCAAAAAAGGCUUUUCUCUCUGCGGAGCGCUUGGCGGCGCGCUUUGCAGCGGGGUGACGCGAGGUUCAGCCUCGGCCUCGAGAGCCAGCAAGCCAAGAGCACUCCUGACCCCGCCCCAUUUGGGUUCCAAACUAUGGGGACCUUUGAGGACGGGCUGGAGUCGCCGGGAUGCAUAGAAGUGCUUAAGAUCCUGACAACCGUUCACACGCCUAACACUGGGCUAUGUUGCUCCGCAAAGGCUAAGGGGAAAGCUGACUUUUGCUCCAGUUUAGAACAGUGUUGUCUGGGCUUUCUGGGGUUCGGGCUAACACUUUGUACUUUGUGCUCUACAAGUCUCUGCAGCCGGUUGCACCCCAGAACAUAGCACCAGAAUUCUGUGGUCUCUGCUCCCCCUACUUCUCACCUUGCUUGAUCAGUUCUUCCCAAGAGAUCACAGUACUGCUGCAGGAGCAGAAUGGAUCUCCAAACACUGGAGUUCUCUUCUCCCCAAUUGCUGAUGCAUCCCCAAACAGGGUCGUCUGAGACAAGCAGUUAAGAAGCAAUUUAUCACCAAGAACGAUGGUGAUACUUUCUGCGGGGGUAUGGAGAGUUGUGAUUUUUAAAUAAAAGGAUUAUGAGACUGUG